rnacentral:rRNA from 1 species
GACGAACGCUGGCGGCGUGCUUAACACAUGCAAGUCGAACGGAAAGGCCCUGCUUUUGUGGGGUGCUCGAGUGGCGAACGGGUGAGUAACACGUGAGUAACCUGCCCUUGACUUUGGGAUAACUUCAGGAAACUGGGGCUAAUACCGGAUAGGAGCUCCUGCUGCAUGGUGGGGGUUGGAAAGUUUCGGCGGUUGGGGAUGGACUCGCGGCUUAUCAGCUUGUUGGUGGGGUAGUGGCUUACCAAGGCUUUGACGGGUAGCCGGCCUGAGAGGGUGACCGGCCACAUUGGGACUGAGAUACGGCCCAGUCUCCUACGGGAGGCAGCAGUGGGGCAUAUUGCACAAUGGGCGGAAGCCUGAUGCAGCACCGCCGCGUGCGGGAUGACGGCCUUCGGGUUGUAAACCGCUUUCGCCUGUGACGAAGCGUGAGUGACGGUAAUGGGUAAAGAAGCACCGGCUAACUACGUG